GACAAGUCUCAACAUCUUCAUUCCUCUUCUCCAAUCCUCCUCUUUCAAAACACACUGAACCCUAGCUCCUAUCUCCUCUUCCAUCGCACCUCACCUCCUCUGCCACCCCUUCCACCUUCGCCGCCUUGAACCUCCGCCACCCCCUCCUCCUCCAGCCGACACCUACUUCCGUCGCCCUCCUCCUCCUACAGCCGAAACCCACCUCCGUCGCCCUCCUUCUCCUCCAGCCGACACCCACCCCCGCCGCCCCUCCACUCCAGCCGACACCUCCUCCAACGUCUUCUCCACCACUCAAAGGUUAUAUGCUUUGAAGAAAGGUAUGUAUUCUUUUGUACAUUGAGUUCUAUGAUGCAAUGGCUGUUCCCAUGGCGAGUGCUCUAUCUGGUUAAGCCUUCAGAGGCUGAGAAGAACCUUGUCCAAUCAACUGAGCGGUUAAUUCAAAGCAUGGAUUCACUGAUUUAAAAAAAAUGUUAUUGUCGUUUUAUGAAUAUUAUUUCAGUAUUGUAUAACUAUUAUUUAUGUUUGAAUGUUAAAAAACUCUUUUAAGUUAAAUAAAAUCAGUUUAUUUAUAUUUC
rnacentral:lncRNA from 1 species